AGUCGAGAUGUAACGCCAUUGGGGUAGGAAGCCCGGAAACCUCUCCGGGUAUUUUCUUCUCACUAUAAACUGUUGGAAUGAUCAUGUGUGAAGGCUGCAGCACACAAAUGAAGAAGACUCAAAAUCUGUUGCAAGUUUCUACUUACGUCUGCAUAUCACAAUCAGAAACACACUGAUGACUUCAUGGUAAAGAGAAACUGGCUUCCAUUAGUGUCUCCAGCACCCGAAAGAGAGGAAAACUACUGAGAGAGAGAAGAAAGGGCUCUACACUUGAGGAAACGGACUGCAUCAUUACCAGGUUUUUCUGCCACUCCUCCUAUCUGCCCAGCUGGUUCCCACCUUCACUCCACUGCCUCUGCAUCUCAGAAUCCUUUGGAUUCUGAAGGUAUGUGGGCAGUUCAAGAGGCAUUUCUCAGGAGCCCUGGGUGCUGCUGUUGGUACUGGAGGCAGGAGAUGUCUGCAGUUGGUGGGAAGGAAAAUGUGUUUCCAAGAUGGUUCAUUCACAUGGCAGUUGGUAGGUGACCUCAGCUCCUCAUUCCAGUGAGCACUAUGUAAGCUGCUGGGUGACCUCAUGAGGUAGCCACUGGAUUCCUCCAGAGUAAUGCAAGAGAGACUCAGACUG